rnacentral:tRNA from 1 species
ACUCUUAAAGGAUAAUAGUUAAUCCAUUGAUCUUAGAAAUCAAAACCCCCGGUGCAACUCCGAGUAAAAGUU